CUUAAUCAUUUGUCUGUAAGUGAUAGACGCCUUCACAGGAAGUGCACAGGAAGUAGUAGAAAGUAGAAAUAUUUAACAAUCUUCAUGCUUUUGAAGAAGUAUGAUUCACACUCUUUCUGGGUAAGAGUGAUGCUGAAUGGUCUUUGGGUCAAAACAUCACAUUCCAGAGCUAUGAGCUUGCAUGACGUAGAUAAUUAUGGUCAAGGCUUAGCAUCUGUGAAUGGAGAGUGAUAACUGCAUAAAAGGGAGAGAGGAUUUUGCUCCAAUUCACUCCUGCACUGCACCCCAUUCAUGGGGCAGGCAGAGAGGCUUCUUCAUUUUCGGGUCAGAAUUAUAGGUAUUUGACAUGACAUUCGUGUAGCGGGUGAGGCUAUCACCAGAGGAAAUAUGGUCCUCUAGGCCAGAUUGCCAGGGUUUUUUCUAUCUUGUGUUCUUGUACUUGGAAUUUUGUAUGUAACGAUCCAUCGAUAUUAAACGAACCGAAACACAAGGAAUGGUGUCGUGUGUCAUCUUUCUACAUCAGUUUCCGCGUGUUACAUUUAUAUUACAC